rnacentral:rRNA from 1 species
AGGUUAGUAGUGUUAAGAUAAGUAUUUUUUUUAUAAAAAAAUUAUUUUUAUUUAAGUAUAGAUGAUAGAAAUAAAAAUUAAGGAACCUAAUGGGGUGAAGAAACAUAGUUAUAGAAGGAAUAAGAGUUUUUACUUUUUGUAUCAUGGCUUAUAGAGUGUAAAAAAUUAUUUUUUUUUCCUGAAAAUCUUAGAGCUACUUAACUCAACAAAAUUGUUGUUGAAAAAUCCAAUAGUAAGAGUUAAGUAGAGGUGAAAUGUUAGACGAAAAGGUUGAUAGCUGGUUGGUAGAGAAAUAUAUAUACGUAUAGAUUUUUAGGUGCUCAUUCUUGAAUAAGGCGGGGCAUGAGUUCUGGAGGUUAAAGAUUUUUGAGGUUUAGCUCAAUUAGAAAAAUUGGUUGUAGUUGAUAAUAGCUAUAAAGUAAGAAUUAAAUUUUCUAGCUUUAAUAUAUUUUUAUAAAUUAUUACUAUUUGUGCAGUUUGAUGAAUAUCUACCCAUUGGAGUUAAUUUUUAUUCUUAGAUUAGUAUAAGAUUAGUAUUUGGCGUUUUGAAUUUUGUAAAGUUAAGGGAUUUAUAUAUUAAAAGUUGAUUAGUGGUUAUUUACUAACAAGGAACUCGGCAAAAGUACUUUUCGCUUGUUUAACAAAAACAUCGCCCCUUGAAAUUAUAUAUAGGGGGUUGGGCCUGCCCGGUGAGUAAUUUAAACGGCCGCAGUUAGAAGCUGUGCUAAGGUAGCGUAAUAAAUUGUCUUUUAAUUAAAGAAAGGAAUGAAAGGUUUGACGUAAUAGUGACUGUCUCGUUUGUAAGUAGAGAAGUUUUCUUCUAAGUGAAAAGUCUUAGAUAUAAUUAGAAGACGAGAAGACCCUGUCGAGCUUGGAUAUAUUUAUCAAAGGUUUGGUAGAGUAAGGUUUAGUUGGGGCAACUGGGAAGUAGAAAAGACUUCUUGUUAAGUAUGUGGAUCCAAUAUGAUUGAAGACAGAAAAAGCUACCGCAGGGAUAACAGCGUUAUUUUUUCUGAGAGAUCAAAUUGAAGAAAAGGAUUGCGACCUCGAUGUUGGAUUAGGAUUUCUUGUUGGCGUAGAGGCUAAUGAAGUAGGACUGUUCGUCCUUUAAAAUCCUACAUGAUCUGAGUUCAGACCGGUGAGAACUAGGUCGGUUUCUAUCUCUAAUUUUAAGUUGUUUUUGUACGAAAGGACCAGACUUCUUAAUUAGAUAAUUAGAUUAAGUAAGAUGAAUAAGUGUU